GACGAACGCUGGCGGCGUGCUUAACACAUGCAAGUCGAACGGUGAAGCGCCUUCCUUUUUGGUGGGUGUGGAUGAGUGGCGAACGGGUGAGUAACACGUGAGUAACCUGCCCCCUUCUUCUGGAUAACCGCAUGAAAGUGUGGCUAAUACGGGAUAUUCUGGGUCUGUCGCAUGAUGGGUCUGGGAAAGAUAUUGUUUCGGUGGGAGAUGGGCUCGCGGCCUAUCAGCUUGUUGGUGGGGUGAUGGCCUACCAAGGCGGUGACGGGUAGCCGGCCUGAGAGGGUGGACGGUCACACUGGGACUGAGACACGGCCCAGACUCCUACGGGAGGCAGCAGUGGGGAAUAUUGCACAAUGGGCGCAAGCCUGAUGCAGCGACGCCGCGUGAGGGAUGGAGGCCUUCGGGUUGUGAACCUCUUUCGCCAGUGAAGCAGGCCUGCCUCGUUUGUGGGUGGGUUGACGGUAGCUGGAUAAGAAGCGCCGGCUAACUACGUG
rnacentral:rRNA from 1 species